rnacentral:rRNA from 1 species
GGAGGGUGCAAGCGUUGUCCGGAUUUAUUGGGGGUUUAAAGGGGUGCGUAGGCGGCCUAUUAAGUCAGUGGUGAAAGGGUAUCAGCUUAACUGUUGACGUGCCAUUGAAACUGACAGGCUUGAGUACAGACGAGGUAGGCGGAAUUUAUGGUGUAGCGGUGAAAUGCAUAGAUACCAUAAAGAACACCAAUUGCGAAGGCAGCUUACUAGACUGAGACUGACGCUGAGGCACGAAAGCGUGGGGAGCGAACAGGAUUAGAUACCCUGGUAGUCCACGCUGUAAACGGUGAUUACUGGAUGUGUGCGAUAGACAGUACGCGUCUGAGCGAAAGCGUUAAGUAAUCCACCUGGGGAGUACGAUCGCAAGAUUG